rnacentral:rRNA from 1 species
UAGGGAAUCUUCGGCAAUGGACGAAAGUCUGACCGAGCAACUCCGCGUGAGUGAAGAAGGUUUUCGGAUCGUAAAACUCUGUUGUUAGAGAAGAACAAGGACGUUAGUAACUGAACGUCCCCUGACGGUAUCUAACCAGAAAGCCACGGCUAACUACGUGCCAGCAGCCGCGGUAAUACGUAGGUGGCAAGCGUUGUCCGGAUUUAUUGGGCGUAAAGCGAGCGCAGGCGGUUUCUUAAGUCUGAUGUGAAAGCCCCCGGCUCAACCGGGGAGGGUCAUUGGAAACUGGGAGACUUGAGUGCAGAAGAGGAGAGUGGAAUUCCAUGUGUAGCGGUGAAAUGCGUAGAUAUAUGGGGGAACACCAGUGGCGAAGGCGGCUCUCUGGUCUGUAACUGACGCUGAGGCUCGAAAGCGUGGGGAGCAAACAGG